GCGGAGGGGUGGAUGGCCGCGGGCCCUUGGCCCGAGGAAAGUCCGGACUCCGAUGAAGCAAUGGCGCCGGGUAACGCCCGGCGGGGGCAACCCCAGGGACAGCGCCACAGAAAACAGACCGCCCCGCAGGCCGGGGUCAGGGUGAAACGGUGGGGUAAGAGCCCACCGCGGGACGGGCAACCGGACCGGCACGGCAAGCCCCGCCAGGAGCAAUGCCAAAUAGGGACCUCGUCCGGGUAACCGGGGGACGCUUCUGCCCAGAGGUCCGGGUCGGCAGCUUGAGGCCGCAGGUGACUGCGUGCCCAGAUGAAUGGUCAUCCCCGAAGCGAUUCGGGACAAAAUCCGGCUUAUAUCCCCUCCGCGCAU
rnacentral:RNase_P_RNA from 1 species